AUACAUAGGGGGCAAGCGUUAUCCGGAAUUAUUGGGCGUAAAGGGUGCGUAGGUGGCCAUUUAAGUCUUUGGUGUAAGUUCAGCGCUCAACGCUGUGAUGCUAAAGAAACUGGGUGGCUUGAGUGUGGUAGAGGCAAGUGGAAUUCCAUGUGUAGCGGUAAAAUGCGUAAAUAUAUGGAGGAACACCGGUGGCGAAGGCGGCUUGCUGGGCCACAACUGACACUGAAGCACGAAAGCGUGGGGAGC
rnacentral:rRNA from 1 species